rnacentral:rRNA from 1 species
CAGCAGCCGCGGUAAUACAGAGGGUGCGAGCGUUAAUCAGAUUUACUGGGCGUAAAGCGUGCGUAGGCGGCUUUUUAAGUCGGAUGUGAAAUCCCUGAGCUUAACUUAGGAAUUGCAUUCGAUACUGGGAAGCUAGAGUAUGGGAGAGGAUGGUAGAAUUCCAGGUGUAGCGGUGAAAUGCGUAGAGAUCUGGAGGAAUACCGAUGGCGAAGGCAGCCAUCUGGCCUAAUACUGACGCUGAGGUACGAAAGCAUGGGGAGCAAACAGGAUUAGAUACCCGCGUAGUCCCUGUCUCUUAUAC